UAGCUUUGCAGACAGCAUGUCUAGGAUGUAGUCUUGAAAGCGCUCCCAUGCUUCUGGAACAGAUUCAUCAUUUUGUUGCUGAAAACUUGUAAUCUUCCCACGGAGAGC
rnacentral:snoRNA from 1 species